UGGAUAAAUUAUUAUAUUCGACUGUAUUCACGGCGUGAAACAGGGGAUUAUACUGUUUUUAAACGAAAAGUGAAUCAAUUAACAUAAUAGACUCCU
rfam:Nicotiana attenuata strain TT chromosome 1, whole genome shotgun sequence.